rnacentral:lncRNA from 1 species
GUGAUACUGGGAUUAAGGGUAUGGAUAAUGGAAGCCUCACCCUGGGUAUGGGUGGCACCAACCAAUAGGCUUAUAGCCUGGAUGGACCAUAAAGGGACAGAAAGAAGGCUGGCUUACUCUGCUGCUGCUGCCGCUGCUUGCUGCCUUCUGUCUGCCCUGCCACUCCAUGGGCUGUUUCUCCUUUGCCAUGCCAUGCCACCCUGCUUUGGAACCAGCCAACUGUGGACUGAAACCUGUACAAACUGUGAGCUGAAAUAAGCCUUUCCUUCUUGUUGGAUCUGAAUACUACAUGGCCCUUGCUAAGGGAGGCCAGAGCCAACCUUUCAGCCUGCUUGUCAAAGGAAAAUCUCUCAUGGCAGAUACAUUUCCUGGCCCCCUUUCCUUUAUAGAUCCUGAAAGUUAUAGAGUGCUCCUAACAAGUCAGAUGCAUUUUCUUUGUCUACCAUAUUCCAUAUAAAAAAUAAACACACCAAC